rfam:Papilio machaon contig32855, whole genome shotgun sequence.
GUCUCUGUGGCGCAGUGGAUAGCGCGUUGGACUUCUAAUCCAAAGGUCGUGGGUUCGAUCCCCACCAGAGAUG